CCUACGUGAGGCAGCAGUGGGGAAUAUUGCGCAAUGGGCGAAAGCCUGACGCAGCGACGCCGCGUGAGGGAUGAAGGUCUUCGGAUCGUAAACCUCUGUCAGCAGGGAAGAACGGUCACUGUGCUAAUCAGCAGUGAAUUGACGGUACCUGCAAAGGAAGCACCGGCUAACUCCGUGCCAGCAGCCGCGGUAAUACGGAGGGUGCGAGCGUUAAUAGGAAUUACUGGGCGUAAAGCGCUCGUAGGCGGUAUGUCAAGUCAAGGGUGAAAUCCCCGCGCUCAACGUGGGAACUGCCUUUGAAACUGGCAAACUGGAGUGUGUGAGAGGAUAGUGGAAUUCCAGGUGUAGGAGUGAAAUCCGUAGAUAUCUGGAGGAACAUCAGUGGCGAGGGCGACUAUCUGGCACAUAACUGACGCUGAGGAGCGAAAGCGUGGGUAGCAAACAGGAUUAGAUACCCUUGUAGUC
rnacentral:rRNA from 1 species